rnacentral:tRNA from 1 species
GGGGUUGUGGCUCAAUGAUAGAGCAUUUGCCUAGCAUGUGUGAGGCACUGAGUUCAAUUCUCAGCACCA